CGUGCCAUUCGCGUCGGGGGGAGUCCGGGUGCAGGGCCGCUUCGGGCCUCCGCCGAGCUCCUGGCUGUGCACUUUGAAGAACAGAGGAUUAAUAAAGCACAGGGCUCCGUUGGUCUGGCUGCACUCCAGCUCCGAGGGCGUCCUGGUUUUUAUAGAAUGCACUCCAUUUAUAAGGCAGAGCUGACGCGAGGCAGGACCCACACCGUCGGAGGAGAGAGGCCUAUGGGGAGGUGGAGGGUUUGGGGGUUUGUUGUCAGCUGGAGAGCUCCAAAAAUCUGAAAGUCAUUAUCAGUGAACACAAGAAUGUAAAUACAGUGCACUCGGCCAGUCCUUCACAAAAAAUCACACUUGCCUGGCAAUGCACAGCUUUGGAAGGGGAGGCGCUGCUAUACUGGAGUGUGGUGUUUUUCUUUCUUUCUUUCUUUCUUUCUGUCUCUCUCUCUCUCUUUUUUUUUUGUUUUUGUUUUCACUGCAUUCCUUUACUGGAAAGGGUGGAAAUGCUGCCAGGCCCAGCUGCCGGCUCAUGGGAAGGCUCCGGAGGCUUUUCACCUUCAAAGCCCUUGUGGGAUGGUUUGGCUGUGGCACUGAGCCGGCCAGGCCUUUCCCCAGGUCUGUGCUGUCCAAUAGGGGAGCCAGCAGCCACCUGUGGCCAGUGAGCGCUUGAAAUCCAGCUCGUAAACGGAGGGGCUCCAUUUUCCAUUUAUUUCAGGGCACAAGUGCUGUCCCUGAUACUGCGGUCCUGGAGCCCUGGCACGAGGCACACACAGCAGGCUGACCCCUGAACCAGGAGUCCUGGGGAUGGAGGUCACCAGAGGAAACGGAGACCUGGCGCUUGUCCUCAAGAGGCCUAUAAUCUAGUGGAGGAUCUGAUCUUAAAUUCAGGAAAUGUUUUAAACUCUCUCCAAAGGUGUGUAAAGCUCGGGGGCAGAGAUGGUGUGACUUUUCAGCAGGAACAUUUAUGCGGCCCUGAUAUGUUUACCUGGAUUCUAUUUCCCAAUCCUGAAACCCAGCUGCCCAUCAGACAGGCCUCGGAUGCACGUGGCAAUUCUUUGGAAACCAAGUUUCGGAGGGGAAUGUGAAUCCACCUCCGGGCUUCUCUAUGCGUUUUGGAGGCUCUCUUGGCAACGGUACCCGCUUCAGAACAAGUUCUUGAGAUUUACGGGCAAACUGGCCAAAGGAGGGACACAUAUAUUUCUUAUUUGCUGGGUCAAGUAUCACAGUUUCUUAGGUCCUUGGAAUCCUGGUAGUUGCACUUCAGAAUCCCAAACUCAAAUACUAUAUACUGGUAUAUAAACUCAAAUACUAUGGCCUGGUUGUUCAUCUCUCUGAAGACUGAAGCCCCAAAAUCUUAAGAGAAUUCCCCCUUCCCAUCGAGGAGGAAAACAUUUUUUGUGAAAGUUAAACCCACACGGGUUCCCCAGGGCAACAGAACCAAGAAGUGACACUGGGAGAGUGGUGUGUCCUGAGCCCCUGCCAUCCACCGUCCACCACGGGGCUGGGUUGAGGGGCAUUGGCAAAGGGCAGGAGGGGAAGCGAGCGCCCAGCUGGCCGGAGUGAGGAUACACGGCGGCGUAAGGGACAUGGCCCAGAACACCAGGGCCGGAACCGAGCAAGAGAGGAACUGAGACAGAUGUUACUCUGGAAGCCUGCGCUGUCAAAUUCCUCAAAGCACAGAAAUGCCAUCAAUACCGUGUGUUCCUCUAGAAUAAAACUCAUGCACACGAGGUGCCUGCACUGGCUUUCCCCGUCCGUCAGGCACGGCCUUUCCCCAGCAAGAUGCCACAGAAGGGCAGGACCCAUGACAGAGGUUCACCUUAUCUUAAGACUUGGACAUUUUGGGGAGCUCAAACUCAUCGACGGGAGAUGCUGGGGAGAAUUCGUGGGCUACUCAGGCAAACUCGGCACCUGCCUCUGAGAGCGGGUUGGACGUUUGACUUAGAAAAAGACUCUCAGAAGGUGUGACUCAGGGCCUCAUGGAGUUCUACCAUGGAGAUGAGGGUUGCUUUUUGAUGCAACGAUGUAUCGUCUGCCAUUGGCUCUGCUCCAUGCUUUCACAUCAAGAGAAACCGGGCAGGGGCACCCACUUACUUAGUCCCAGUUGGGCUAGUUCUUCAAGCUGAGCCUCAGUCUUGGCUGUUGAAAUGGCAUAAGGCAACUUCAAGGUAAACGGCAGGACGUCCCUGAUUUUUCAAAAGAGAGAAUACAUGUAAUUACAUGUCUUGUUCUGUCUCUUGCUUUCAUUUCCAUCCUAGAGAUGUUUUAGCUUAAACUAUUUAUUUUUGUUUUAUUUUUUAAUUGAAGUAUAGUUGACUUACAGUGUUUCAGGUAUACAGCAAAGUGAUUCAGUUUUAUACAUAUAUAUUCUUUUCCAUUAUAGGUUAUUACAAGACACUGAAUAUAGUUCCCUGUGCUACACAGUAGGUCCCUGUUGUUUGUCUAUAGCUUAAACUAUUUCAGAUGGCCCAGACAUCACAGCAUACCCAACCAGACUCGUCUUUACUGAUAGGACUGUGGGAUCACUACUCCUGCCUGUGUUAACACACGCAGGACAGGCUGAGAGACAAGCCCGCAUGGUUUCAGUAUUUGCAGCGAGGACCAAAUUGCCUUCCUGGGCAGCUAAGCCGUAUCUAGAGUUAAUAUCAGAAUCGCUAACUA